CACGCCAAGUUAGUCCCCGGUGCCGAUAUGAACAACCGUCGAAUAUCGGCAGCGACGAGCCAGCAGCAACGCCAUCGAGAGUUCAGGGAUUAACAGGAUUCAUACAUGAGAACUAUUGGAGGCAGGGAUAUUGCGAGCAGUGUCUCGGCUAAUGAAAUUUUGUUUCACUGACCAGCUGGCUCAACAGUACAACUUUUAUGGAAAGAGAUCGAACAAAAAGCCUUUCUGCCAACUGCGCCUGCGAGAUUGUAUCGUGGAAGGAGUUGUCACCACUACAUCUGGGUCUACAGCUAAAGACGUAGAAGAUUCCAUUAAAAUUUGGCUAAAACAUGCCCCCGAAAGAUUGAAGAAGAUUAAUAAACAACAAUAAACAUGGCAGAGAAAAUAAAAUAUUCGAGAAAAGCCAUAGUUGGCCAACGUCAAUUAUUGAGAAGAGCCAAAGAAGCACAGUUAAAUGUAAUUUCAAAUUUAAAAAAGAGUACUACAACUGUAAGUGCAUCCUCUUCCUUAGUUAAUUUGCCAUGUACUUCAUGUAAUAAUUCUCAAUCUGAAAUUGUAUUCCAAGGUUCUUAGUCCGAGUUCUUAACGGCUAAUAAGUAUGAGAGUACAGUCCCUGCUGGCAGAAAGCAUGAAACUUGGCAUGUAUAUAGCUUAUAGGUUUAUAAGAAAAUAUGGAAGUAGAAACACGCCGAGGUGUCAAUGUUUCCCCUCUUUCCCCCAACUUUUGUAUCCCUGAUUUC
rnacentral:lncRNA from 1 species